rnacentral:rRNA from 1 species
GUGGGGAAUAUUGCACAAUGGGCGGAAGCCUGAUGCAGCGACGCCGCGUGAGGGAUGACGGCCUUCGGGUUGUAAACCUCUUUCGACAGGGACGAAGCUUUUGUGACGGUACCUGUAUAAGAAGCACCGGCUAACUACGUGCCAGCAGCCGCGGUAAUACGUAGGGUGCGAGCGUUGUCCGGAAUUACUGGGCGUAAAGAGCUCGUAGGUGGUUUGUCGCGUCGUCUGUGAAAUUCCGGGGCUUAACUCCGGGCGUGCAGGCGAUACGGGCAUAACUUGAGUGCUGUAGGGGAGACUGGAAUUCCUGGUGUAGCGGUGAAAUGCGCAGAUAUCAGGAGGAACACCGAUGGCGAAGGCAGGUCUCUGGGCAGUAACUGACGCUGAGGAGCGAAAGCAUGGGGAGCGAACAGGAUUAGAAACCCCAGUAGUCC